rnacentral:rRNA from 1 species
UACGAAGGGAGCUAGCGUUGUUCGGAAUCACUGGGCGUAAAGCGCACGUAGGCGGAUGUGUCAGUCAGGGGUGAAAUCCCGGAGCUCAACUUCGGAACUGCCUUUGAUACAGCACGUCUUGAGUCCGAUAGAGGUGGGUGGAAUUCCUAGUGUAGAGGUGAAAUUCGUAGAUAUUAGGAAGAACACCAGUGGCGAAGGCGGCUCACUGGCCCGGUACUGACGCUGAGGUGCGAAAGCGUGGGGAGCAAACAGGAUUGAGA